rnacentral:rRNA from 1 species
CUACGGGAGGCAGCAGUCGAGAAUCUUCCGCAAUGCGCGAAAGCGUGACGGAGCAAUGCCGCGUGCAGGAUGAAGGCCUUCGGGUUGUAAACUGCUGUCACCGGGGAUGAAUAAUGACAGUACCCGGAGAGGAAGCCACGGCCAACUACGUGCCAGCAGCCGCGGUAAUACGUAGGUGGCGAGCGUUGUUCGGAAUUAUUGGGCGUAAAGGGUCCGCAGGUGGUUUAUUAAGUCUGAUGUGAAAUCUGACGGCUCAACCGUCAAACUGCAUUGGAAACUGAUAAACUAGAGGAUUGGAGAGGUGAAUGGAAUUCCAGGUGUAGCGGUGGAAUGCGUAGAUAUCUGGAGGAACACCAAAAGCGAAGGCAGUUCACUGGACAAUUACUGACACUCAGGGACGAAAGCGUGGGGAGCAAACAGGAUUAGAUACCCACGUAGUC